rnacentral:snRNA from 1 species
UAGUGUUACAGCUCUUUUGGAAUUUGUCUAGCAGGUUUUCUGGUUUUUUUCUGGACAAUCCCC